rnacentral:rRNA from 1 species
GACGAACGCUGGCGGCGUGCUUAACACAUGCAAGUCGAACGGAAAGGCCCUGCUUUUGUGGGGUGCUCGAGUGGCGAACGGGUGAGUAACACGUGAGUAACCUGCCCUUGACUUUGGGAUAACUUCAGGAAACUGGGGCUAAUACCGGAUAGGAGCUCCUGCUGCAUGGUGGGGGUUGGAACGUUUCGGCGGUUGGGGAUGGACUCGCGGCUUAUCAGCUUGUUGGUGGGGUAGUGGCUUACCAAGGCUUUGACGGGUAGCCGGCCUGAGAGGGUGACCGGCCACAUUGGGACUGAGAUACGGCCCAGACUCCUACGGGAGGCAGCAGUGGGGAAUAUUGCACAAUGGGCGGAAGCCUGAUGCAGCAACGCCGCGUGCGGGAUGACGGCCUUCGGGUGGUAAACCGCUUUCGCCUGUGACGAAGCGUGAGUGACGGUAAUGGGUAAAGAAGCACCGGCUAACUACGUG